rnacentral:rRNA from 1 species
AUUGAACGCUGGCGGAAUGCUUUACACAUGCAAGUCGAACGGUAGAGGGGGCAACCCCUUGAGAGUGGCGAACGGGUGAGUAAUAUAUCGGAACGUGCCCAGUCGUGGGGAUAACGUAGCGAAAGUUACGCUAAUACCGCAUACGAUCUAAGGAUGAAAGCGGGGGGAUCGCAAGACCUCGCGCGAUUGGAGCGGCCGAUAUCAGAUUAGGUAGUUGGUGAGGUAAAGGCUCACCAAGCCAACGAUCUGUAGCUGGUCUGAGAGGACGACCAGCCACACUGGAACUGAGACACGGUCCAGACUCCUACGGGAGGCAGCAGUGGGGAAUUUUGGACAAAUGGACGCAAGUCUGAUCCAGCCAUUCCGCGUGCAGGAUGAAGGCCCUCGGGUUGUAAACUGCUUUUG